rnacentral:lncRNA from 1 species
UUCCAGGAAAUUAACCAAAUGUGACAGAAACAGUUAAAAGCAGGAAGCAUGUCCAAUCCAAGUGUUCUCAACCCAGCUCAUUUUCAAAUAAUCAUGACUCUACAAGUGAAAAAGAGAAGCAAGAAGCUGUCUUUGUUUUGUGCAGUCUGGCUUCAGGGACCCUGGAAUACUCCCAAGGAGGCAAAUGGCAUCACUGUGAGGACCAGAAAGCUACUGUAAGCGGGCCUUCAGCACUGGGUGGAGCCCCAGCUUCCUGCAGAGCUGGGCUGCACAAGAGCACACCUUGGAAUGGAUUUCCUCCCUCCCUGACCCGCUGUCAUCACUCUCUCAUUUGUGCAUGGAGAGACAACAUCACAGGUAAAGUGCUCCCACCCGUCUUUGUCUCGGGAACUUCUUUUAGAGAAGAUGUUGACAAACCCAUAACAAGUAGGAAAAGCCAGGGAAAGGAGGCCACUCUCCUGCUCUGUUCCCCACCAGCCUCUUCACCCAAUGAUCCUUCAGGGUCCCUUUCGUCUCCAAGAAGUCACCCAUGCUACCCUGGGCCCUCCCAGCUUUGUCCACCAAAUGCCAAGCUUGGAGAAAACUGUCCUUCCCAAUGCCGGGUUCUUAUAAGCUGUUCAGGGCACUGA